CAUAAAGGAAUCGUCAGGCUCAUACACCCUCCACCACUCUCAUUCUUCUUCUUCCUCUUACUACCAACUCCAAUACGAUUCUCUGUGUUAAACUGUUUAGACUAACAUGGCGUUCGACAAGAUCAAGGUGGCCAACCCCGUCGUUGAGAUGGACGGAGAUGAAAUGACUCGAGUUUUCUGGAAAUCAAUAAAGGAUAAGCUUAUUUUCCCCUUCCUGGAGUUGGACAUCAAGUACUUUGACCUUGGCCUUCCCCAUCGUGAUGCCACUGAUGAUAAAGUAACAAUUGAAAGUGCAGAGGCUACUCUUAAGUACAAUGUAGCAAUCAAGUGUGCAACAAUAACUCCAGAUGAAGGUCGUGUGAAGGAGUUUAGCUUGAAGCAGAUGUGGAAGAGUCCAAAUGGGACAAUUAGGAAUAUUUUGAAUGGUACUGUCUUCAGAGAACCAAUCAUUUGCAAGAACAUUCCUCGCCUUGUCCCAGGUUGGACCAAGCCUAUAUGCAUUGGAAGGCAUGCUUUUGGUGAUCAAUAUCGUUCAACUGAUACAGUUAUUAAAGGAGCUGGGAAAUUGAAAUUAGUGUUUGUACCGGAAGGACAGGAUGAGAAGACGGAGUUCGAGGUUUUCAACUUUACAGGUGCCGGGGGAGUGGCAUUGUCAAUGUAUAACACUGAUGAGUCUAUCCGUGCUUUUGCUGAGGCUUCCAUGAACACUGCCUAUGAGAAAAAAUGGCCACUUUAUCUUAGCACAAAGAAUACAAUUCUAAAGAAGUAUGAUGGAAGAUUCAAGGACAUAUUUCAAGAAGUUUAUGAGGCCAAGUGGAAAUCAAAGUAUGAGGCUGCUGGCAUAUGGUAUGAACACCGACUCAUUGAUGAUAUGGUGGCUUAUGCUCUCAAGAGUGAAGGAGGUUAUGUAUGGGCAUGCAAGAACUAUGAUGGUGAUGUCCAGAGUGAUUUCUUAGCCCAAGGGUUUGGAUCUCUUGGAUUGAUGACUUCUGUACUGGUGUGUCCAGAUGGAAAGACGAUAGAAGCAGAAGCUGCCCAUGGUACCGUUACACGGCACUAUAGGGUUCACCAGAAAGGAGGUGAAACCAGCACAAACAGCAUUGCCUCAAUAUUUGCUUGGUCACGAGGGCUUGCACACAGGGCAAAGCUGGAUGGGAAUGCUAGACUAUCGGAUUUCACUGAGAAACUAGAAGCUGCUUGUGUUGGAGCUGUGGAAUCUGGGAAGAUGACCAAGGAUCUUGCUAUUCUUAUCCAUGGUCCUAAGGCCACUAGGGAUCACUAUCUGAAUACUGAAGAGUUCAUUGAUGCUGUUGCAGCAGAACUUAGAGCAAGACUUUCAGCCUGAGCAUAAUAGCUGAAUGGAUUGGGAACCUGACGAAUGAGAAAGUCUUUUUGGUAACCUGUUUGGCAACAGGGAGGAAUAAAAAAUGUUUUUCGUUUUUUUUUUCUGGGGGGGUGCUAAUUCUGACUUCUUUUACCAGACGGGUCUCAACUUUCAUCCCAUGUGCUGCUAUGCUUAUAGUAGACUGCGGUGUUUUACUUGCUUGAAAGAAUUUACUUAUCCAAGGUAUUAAGUUCCCCAGUGUUUAUCGUAUGCCUUUUCACA